rnacentral:rRNA from 1 species
UGCAGAAUCCCGUGAACCAUCGAGUUUUUGAACGCAAGUUGCGCCUGAGGCCAGCCGGCCAAGGGCACGUCCGCCUGGGCGUCAAGCGUUGCGUCGCUCCGUGCCAACUCCAUCACACCUAUGUGUGUGUCGGCCAAGGCUCGGACGUGCAGAGUGGCUCAUCGUGCCAAUUGGUGCGGCGGGUUGAAGAGCGGGUUAUCGUCUCAUUGGCCACGAACAAUAAGGGGUGGAUGAAAUCUGUGAGCAAGGCCUACUUUGUCUCGUGUUGGCCAGAGAAAAGAUUGUCCCUUUUAGUUGAUCCCAACCCAUGUGCUGAUACACAGGCGGCAGCUUGGAAUGCGACCCCAGGAUGGGCGAGGCCACCCGCUGAGUUUAAGCAUAUCAAUAAGCGGAGGAGAAGAAACUUACAAGGAUUCCCCUAGUAACGGCGAGCGAACCGGGAAUGGCCCAGCAUGGGAAUCGGGCUGCCAUGCAGCAGCUCGA